rnacentral:rRNA from 1 species
AGUGAACGCUGGCGGUAGGCCUAACACAUGCAAGUCGAACGGCAGCACAGUAAGAGCUUGCUCUUACGGGUGGCGAGUGGCGGACGGGUGAGGAAUACAUCGGAAUCUACUUUUUCGUGGGGGAUAACGUAGGGAAACUUACGCUAAUACCGCAUACGACCUACGGGUGAGAGCAGGGGAUCUUCGGACCUUGCGCGAUUGAAUGAGCCGAUGUCGGAUUAGCUAGUUGGCGGGGUAAAGGCCCACCAAGGCGACGAUCCGUAGCUGGUCUGAGAGGAUGAUCAGCCACACUGGAACUGAGACACGUGCCAGACUCCUACGGGAGGCAGCAGUGGGGAAUAUUGGACAAUGGGCGCAAGCCUGAUCCAGCCAUACCGCGUGGGUGAAGAAGGCCUUCGGGUUGUAAAGCCCUUUUGUUGGGAAAGAAAAGCAGCAGGUUAAUACCCCGCUGUUCUGACGGUACCCAAAGAAUAAGCACCGGCUAACUUCGU